UACGGAGGGUGCAAGCGUUAUCCGGAUUUACUGGGCUUAAAGGGUGCGCAGGCGGUUAUGUAAGUCAGUGGUGAAAUCUCCGGGCUUAACCCGGAAACUGCCGUUGAUACUAUAUAUCUUGAAUGCUGUGGAGGUAAGCAGAAUAUGUCAUGUAGCGGUGAAAUGCUUAGAGAUGACAUAGAAUACCUAUUGCGAAGGCAGCUUACUACGCAGAUAUUGACGCUCAUGCACGAAAGCGUGGGGAUCAAACAGG
rnacentral:rRNA from 1 species